AUGCGAGGCGCAGGGACGGCCGAUAAGCUGGGCGAUCCGGCCAUGGUGUUUCUUGGUUGGUCGCCCUCGUGGACCUGCGGGCGGGAGGAGGACGGCGCGCUCUCCCUCACCCUCGCGUCGCCGUGCGUGCAGAGGGGUCUGAUCGACUGCGUCAAUGGCGUGCUCCUCGUCGCCUACGCCUCCGCGCUGCUCGCGGCCUGCGUCGGGGGGAGGUGGGAUGGGCGGGGGAGAAGCGGCGGCGCAAGGCCGCGGUGGGCGGUGGCCGCGGUCUCCGCGUGCUGCGUGGCGGUCGCGGCGGCGUACGCCGUCGCCGCGUUCAGGGGCUCCGCGGAUGCGGCGGCUCCCAUCGUCCGGGGGCUGCUGUGGGUGGCCGUGGCGGCCUCGUUGCACGUCCAGCCGACGAGGCCGGCGAGGGCCGUGGCCGUUCUCUGGUGGACGCUCUUCUCGCUGCUCAUCACCGCGUACAAUGCGGAGGUCCUUGCCACGGGCCAGGGCCUCGACGUCGCGGAGGCCGCCGCGUGGGCGGUCAACUUCCUCCUCCUGCUCUGCGCCCUCGGCUCCCUGCUCCGGCGGAGCCGUGGCCGCCAGGGCGACGACGACCUGUCGGAGCCCUUGAUUGACAAGGCGGUGCGCGACUCGGAGCUCUACCGGGCCGGCUUGUUCAGCCAGCUCGCCUUCUCGUGGCUGAACCCGCUGCUCCGCCUCGGCCGCUCAAAAGCACUGGACCUCGCCGACAUCCCGCUCAUCGCCGACGAGGACUGCGCACAGCAAGCGUCGCGUAGGUUCUCCAAGGCGUGGAGCCGCCACCGGCAGGACAAGGCGCAGAGCGGGAGAUCCAACAGCCUCGCCCUCGUCCUGUGCAAGUGCUUCCUCAGGGAGAUCAUGAUCGCCGGCUUCUACGCCUUCAUGAGAACACUCGCCAUAGCCGUCUCCCCUAUACUGCUCUUUGCGUUCGUACGGUACAGCUACCAAGAAGAGAGGGAUCACCGCGUCGGCCUCUCGCUCGUCGGCUGCCUCCUCGUCAUCAAGCUCGUCGAGUCGCUGUCCCAGCGGCAUUGGUUCUUCGACUCCAGGAGGACCGGGAUGCGCAUUCGGUCCGCGCUAAUGGCGGCCAUCUUUCAGAAGCAGCUGAAGCUGUCCAGCCAGGGGAGGAAGAACCAUUCCACCGGGGAGAUAGUCAACUACAUUGCCGUCGACGCUUACCGGCUUGGCGAUGCUCUCAGCUGGUUUCACAUGGCGUGGAGCUCGCCGCUCCAGCUCGCCUUCGCAGUAGGCACGCUCUUCUGGGCGCUCAGGCUUGGGGCCGUCCCGGGUCUAGUCCCCCUGAUCAUCUUCGGCUUCCUCAACAUGCCGUUCGCAAAGCUUCUGCAAGGGUACCAGGCCAAGUUCAUGGUUGCACAGGAUGACAGGCUCCGGUCCACGUCCGAGGUGCUCAACAGCAUGAAGAUCAUCAAGCUGCAGUCAUGGGAGGAGAAGUUCCGGGCCAUGGUCGAGUCCCUCAGAGACGCUGAGUUCAUAUGGUUGAGGGAGACCCAGAUGAAGAAAGCCUACGGCGCCGUCAUGUACUGGAUGUCCCCGACGGUCGUCUCUGCGGUGAUGUACACCGCAACGGCGAUCCUGGGGAGUGCCCCCCUGAACGCCAGUACCCUCUUCACGGUCCUGGCCACCCUGAGGGUCAUGGCUGAGCCGGUGAGGUUCCUUCCUGAGAUCCUGACAAUGAUGAUCCAGUACAAGGUGUCGCUAGACCGUAUCGAGAAAUUUCUCAUAGAAGAUGAGAUCAAAGAGGGUCUGGAGAGGGCGCUUCCACAUAACUCUGAUAUCAGGGUUCAUGUCCAAGAUGCAAAUUUCAGCUGGAAUGCGAGUGCGUCCGAUUUGACGCUAAGGAAUGUUAACCUUAGCAUAAACCAAGGAGAGAAGGUGGCCAUCUGCGGCGCGGUUGGCUCGGGAAAAUCUUCGCUCCUUUAUGCGUUACUUAGGGAGAUACCUAGAACAUCAGGAUCAGUUGACGUAUUUGGAUCACUGGCAUAUGUUUCGCAAAACUCAUGGAUACAGAGUGGUACUGUCCGCGACAAUAUACUCUUCGGAAAGCCUUUCGACAAGGAACUGUAUGAGAAGGCAAUCAAAUCCUGUGCUUUGGACAAGGAUAUAGAAAAUUUCAAUCAUGGAGACCUUACAGAGAUUGGCCAGAGAGGGCUCAACAUGAGUGGAGGUCAGAAGCAAAGGAUUCAGCUUGCUAGAGCUGUCUAUAGCGAUGCAGAUAUCUACCUCCUAGACGACCCUUUCAGCGCGGUCGAUGCGCACACUGCUGCAGUUCUUUUCUAUGAUUGUGUGAUGACAGCACUUUCAAAGAAGACCGUUGUUCUUGUGACACACCAAGUUGAAUUUCUGACUGAAACUAACAGGAUUCUGGUAAUGGAAGGCGGUCAAGUUAAACAACAAGGGAAAUAUGCAGACCUGCUGGAAUCCGGGACGGCAUUUGAGAAGCUAGUUUCAGCUCACCAGUCCUCAAUCACAGCACUGGAUACCACCAGCCAAGAAAACCAAGUCCAAGGGCAACAGGUGCUCAAUGACGGUAUAAUGCCGAGCGCAUUGCUGGCGACGCGGCAGGCCAGCGAGAUCGAAAUCUCGACGAGGGGUCCUUCGGUGGCCCAGCUCACAGAAGAGGAGGAGAAGGGGAUCGGCAACCUCGGAUGGAAGCCAUACAAAGACUACGUAGAAGUCUCCAAGGGCAUUUUACCCCUCUGUGGGAUGGUUACAGCUCAAGUGCUUUUCACAGUCUUUCAGAUCAUGUCCACAUAUUGGCUGGCCGUGGCUAUUCAGAUCAAUGUCAGUAAUGCUCUUCUGGUUGGGGCAUACUCGGCGAUCUCCAUCUUCAGCUGCUGCUUUGCCUACCUCAGAAGCUUCUUUGCUGCUAAUCUGGGACUCAAGGCCUCCAAAGCGUUCUUUACGGGUCUAAUGGACUCUGUAUUCAAGGCCCCCAUGUCAUUCUUUGAUUCGACGCCCAUUGGAAGAAUAUUGACAAGGGCUUCAUCAGAUUUAAGCAUUCUGGACUUUGACAUACCUUACUCCAUGGCCUUUGUGGUGACUGGCAGUAUCGAGGUGGUCACCACAGUGCUGGUCAUGGGUACUGUAACUUGGCAGGUCUUAGUUGUAGCAAUCCCAGUUGCAGUAUCCAUGGUGUAUGUUCAGAGGUACUACGUGGACUCAGCCAGAGAGCUAGUCAGAAUUAAUGGAACAACAAAGGCACCUGUCAUGAACUAUGCAUCAGAAUCGAUUCUUGGUGUGGUGACAAUCAGGGCUUUCGCGGCAACAGACAGGUUCAUCCACAACAACCUGCAACUUAUAGACAAUGACGCAACAAUGUUCUUCCACACGGUGGCUGCGCAGGAGUGGGUUCUUAUAAGAGUGGAAGCACUGCAAAGCUUGACCAUAUUCACAGCUUCAUUGUUCCUUAUUUUGGUUCCUCCAGGAGUAAUUUCACCAGGCUUUGCGGGUCUUUGCCUCUCGUAUGCUUUAAGCCUGACUGCGGCACAAGUUUUCCUGACACGGUACUAUUCAUACCUAGAAAACUAUAUCAUUUCAGUCGAGAGAAUCAAGCAGUAUAUGCACCUUCCAUCAGAGCCUCCCACCAUAAUACCAGACAACAGGCCUCCAAUUUCAUGGCCACAGGAAGGAAGAAUAGACCUGCAAGAUUUGAAGAUUAAAUACCGCCCAAACACGCCACUUGUUCUCAAAGGAAUCACUUGCACCUUCCCUGCUGGAAACAGAAUUGGGGUUGUCGGGAGGACAGGAAGCGGGAAAUCAACGCUUAUCAGCUCACUGUUCCGUCUCGUUGAUCCUGUGGGUGGGAGGAUACUUAUUGACAACUUGGAUAUCUGCUCUAUUGGUCUCAAGGAUCUAAGAACUAAACUAAGUAUUAUCCCCCAAGAACCUACACUUUUCAGAGGAACUGUGCGCAAUAAUUUGGACCCCCUUGGUCUGCAUUCCGAUGAUGAGAUAUGGGAGGCCUUGGAGAAGUGUCAGCUGAAGAGAUCAAUUAGCAGCACUGCUGCUCUUCUCGAUACAGUAGUGAGUGAUGAUGGCGAUAACUGGAGUGUUGGACAGCGUCAGCUCUUCUGUCUCGGCAGAGUUCUCCUCCGUAGGAACAAAAUUCUAGUGCUAGAUGAAGCAACAGCGUCCAUCGACUCCGCAACUGAUGCAAUCCUACAGGGUGUCAUCAGGCAGCAGUUCACUAGUUGCACAGUGAUAACCAUUGCUCACAGGGUCCCAACUGUGACAGACAGUGACAGGGUCAUGGUGCUUUCCUACGGUAAGCUUCUAGAAUAUGACACACCCGCCAAGCUGUUGGAAGACAAACAAUCAGCCUUUGCUAAACUUGUGGCGGAGUAUUGGGCUAAUUGCAAGCGGAACUCCACAUGA
rnacentral:rRNA from 1 species